rnacentral:rRNA from 1 species
UUCCGGUUGAUCCCGCCGGACCUGACUGCUAUCGGAUUGAUACUAAGCCAUGCGAGUCAUUGUAGCAAUACAAGGCAGACGGCUCAGUAACGCGUAGUCAACCUACCCUAUGGACGGGAAUAACCUCGGGAAACUGAGUAUAAUGCCCGAUAGAACACUAUACCUGGAAUGGUUUGUGUUCCAAAUGAUUUAUCGCCGUAGGAUGGGACUGCGGCCUAUCAGUUUGUUGGUGAGGUAAUGGCCCACCAAGACUAUUACAGGUACGGGCUCUGAGAGGAGUGGCCCGGAGAUGGGUACUGAGACACGGACCCAGGCCCUAUGGGGCGCAGCAGGCGAGAAAACUUUGCAAUGUGCGAAAGCACGACAAGGUUAAUCCGAGUGGUUUCUGCUAAAGGAACCUUUUGACAGUCCUAGAAACACUGUUGAAUAAGGGGUGGGCAAGUUCUGGUGUCAGCCGCCGCGGUAAAACCAGCACCUCAAGUGGUCAGGAUGAUUAUUGGGCCUAAAGCAUCCGUAGCCGGUUCUGUAAGUUUUCGGUUAAAUCUGUACGCUCAACGUACAGGCUGCUGGGAAUACUGCAGAACUAGGGAGUGGGAGAGAUAGACGGUACUCGGGAGGAAGUGGUAAAAUGCUUUGAUCUCUCGAUGACCACCUGUGGCGAAGGCGGUCUAUCAGAACACGUCCGACGGUGAGGGAUGAAAGCUGGGGGAGCAAACCGGAUUAGAUACCCGGGUAGUCCCAGCUGUAAACUAUGCAAACUCAAUGAUGCAUUGACUUAUGGUCAAUGCAGUGUUGCAGGGAAGCCGUUAAGUUUGCCGCCUGGGAAGUACGUACGCAAGUAUGAAACUUAAAGGAAUUGGCGGGGGAGCACCACAAGGGGUGAAGCCUGCGGUUCAAUUGGAUUCAACGCCGGG